UACAGAGGUCUCAAGCGUUGUUCGGAUUCAUUGGGCGUAAAGGGUGCGUAGGUGGCGCUGUAAGUCGGGUGUGAAAUUUCGGAGCUUAACUCCGAAACUGCAUUCGAUACUGCGGUGCUUGAGGACUGGAGAGGAGACUGGAAUUCAUGGUGUAGCAGUGAAAUGCGUAGAGAUCAUGAGGAAGACCAGUGGCGAAGGCGGGUCUCUGGACAGUUCCUGACACUGAGGCACGAAGGCCAGGGGAGCAAACGGGAUUAGAACC
rnacentral:rRNA from 1 species